GGAGAGGUGGCUGAGUGGUUUAAGGCACACGCCUGGAAAGCGUGCGUAGCUAAUCCCUACCGGGGGUUCAAAUCCCUCCCUCUCCGCCA
rnacentral:tRNA from 1 species